rnacentral:ncRNA from 1 species
AAAUAAAUUUUUAUGAUUUAAAAAAUUUUUUUUUAAUUUAUUUUACAUAUAAAUUUUAGUAAAAAUAUUUAAUUAUUUAAAUAAUAAUUAAUAUUAUUUUGUAGUAAUUAACAUUAAAAAUUUAAGAAAUUAAGAUUUAGUAAUAUAAAAAUUAAUAACAAAUUUUGUGCCAGCAGUUGCGGUUAAACAAAAGUUAAAUUAAAUUUUAUUAGAAAUUAAUAAAUAAUUAAAAUUUAAUUUAAAUAUUAAAUUAUUAAGUGAAAUUUUAAUUUAAUUAAAAAUUAUAUAAUGAAAUAUGAUUUAAUAAAUUUUAUUAAAAACUAGGAUUAGAUACCCUACUAUUAAAAAUUUAAAUUAAAAUACUAAAAUAGUAUAUAAUUAUUUAUUGAAACUUAAAUAAUUUGGCGGUAUUUUAGUUCAUUUAGAGGAAUCUGUUUAUUAAUUGAUAAUCCACGAAUAAUUUUACUUAAUUAAAAAUUUUGUAUAUCGUUGUUAAAAAAAUAUUUUUAAAUAAAUUUAAUAUUUAAGAAUUUCAAUUAUAAAUUAAAUCAGAUCAAGAUGCAGAUUAUAGUUAAGAAUAUAAUGGAUUACAAUAAAUUUAUUUAUAAUGGAUAUUUAAUUGAAAAAUUAAAUUAAAAGUGGAUUUAAAUGUAAUUUUAUUUAAUUUAUUAAAAUGAUUAAAAAUUAAAAUAUGUACAUAUUGCCCGUCGCUUUCAUUAAUAAAUUGAAAUAAGUCGUAACAAAGUAGAGGUACUGGAAAGUGUUUCUAGAAAGAC